rnacentral:rRNA from 1 species
UCGCCUACGGGAGGCAGCAGUAGGGAAUCUUCCACAAUGGACGAAAGUCUGAUGGAGCAACGCCGCGUGAGUGAAGAAGGGUUUCGGCUCGUAAAGCUCUGUUGGUAGUGAAGAAAGAUAGAGGUAGUAACUGGCCUUUAUUUGACGGUAAUUACUUAGAAAGUCACGGCUAACUACCCGCCAGCAGCCGCGGUAAUACAUAGGUGGCAAGCGGUUUCCGGGUUUAUUUGGCGUAAAGAGAGUGCAGG